GACAAAUUCAGAGUACUAGCAGUACCACUGCACCUGAAGAUAGAAGGACUACACGUAGAACAGAAGGAGAUUAAUCCUGCUACUAAUCAGUGAGUUUGGAAGAGGACUCUGAGGCACAGAGGAGAACAUUGGCCUCAGUCAAUGGCUGAUUUUAGUUUAGUGAGACCAUGAGCAUAGAGUUAACUAUGCUGCCUCAGACUUCUGAUCUACAGAAACUUGCUGAAAGCCACCAGGUUUGUGAUCAUUUGUUACAACAAUGGAAAAUAGAGGAAUAUGUCCCUACAGGAUUGAGACUAAGACUUUAGGUCCCUAUGGGAUUGAGAUUUACGAUUUAUUAUAAGAAAAGUCUCUAAAAUCCUUUUUUUUUUUUUUUUUUAAGUUUUUAAGUAGUUCUGGAGUCAGAUACACCUGGGUUCAAAUCUUUGUUGGCUGGUUCCUGGUUUUGUGGCUUCACCCCUUCAAGUCUGUCUUCAUCCCUAAAAGACAGCUAGCAGUACCUACCUACCCCUUGAUCUCUCUGAGAACACAUGCAUCACAUACAAUGCCUUGUGCCCAAAGAGUUCCAAGCCCCCAACCCCUGCCAAGUGUCAUGGCCUCUUGGUUUUUCAGUUGGUAUUUCUAAGCCUUUAUUACUAGAGGUUCAAUGAGAAUAUGCACAAAUUAAACUCAAAAUGCAGAAUAUGAGAACUGGUCCUCUUAUGUCAGCAGCUUAGAAAGGUACUUCAGGAAGUACCAAGGUUAAUGCUAAAAGUCAGUGCUGAUAAAGUAUAGGAAUCUGUAGAUAAGAUGUGUCAGGAUAUCUUCCAUAACCCCAAAUUGGAAAUGCAUCACAUUGCGUAGUCUCAUGAAACCUUUGAAGAGCAUACCAAUCACCAGUAAUGUGUAAACUAAGAAGAAAAAUAGCUACAUUAAGCCAGGAACAGUGGUGCGCACACCUGUAAUCCCAGUGGCUCAGGGGGCUGAGACAGGAGAAUCAUGAGUUCAAAGCCAGCCUCAGCAAUGGCGAGGUGCUUAGCAACUCAAUGAGACCCUGUCUCUAAAUAAAAUAAAAAAUAGGGCUGGGGAUGUGGCUUAGUGGUUGAGUACCCCUGAGUUUUAAGCUACUUAAAAUAUGGAUGCCUGGGCUGGGGUUGUGGCUCAGUGGCAGAGCGCUUGGCUCCCACAUGUGAGGCACUGGGUUUGAUCCUCAGCACCACAUAAAAAUGAAUAAACAAAAUAAAGAUAUAAAAAAAUAUAUGGAUGCCAAACAAUUAGCUCUGUUCUUUCAUCUUGUCCUUUAGCUGAAAGCAACAGAUAUUCAAAUGAUGCACCUAGAAUACUAUAAAAAAAUGUAUAUCAUGAACCUUCUAAAUAAAUACAUGAAAAUUAGUGAAACCAAGAAUACAAACUCUGUCUGCCAAAGACCUACUAUAUGUGUGACACAAAAGCCCCAUGAGCUCCACAGAGAUGUCUCUACAGAUGGACCCUCCUUUCAGGAGCUGGUGGUAAGAAAACAAACUGGCCAGCGGUAUCAGUAGCCGAGACUAUCUUCUCCAGUGGCAUGGAUGCCGUGAGAUUCUGUGAAUCAAACCUUUUACCAGAUUGAAUUUCUUAGCUGGUUAAUGAUUACACAAAUUUUCCUCAGAUUUUUUGAACCAUUUCAAUUCUGUAAGUAAACUCUAACAUUGUACUUUUUAAAAUAUACUUUUUAGUUGUAGAUGGACACAAUACCUUUAUUUUAUUUACUUAUUUUUAUGUGGUGAUGAGGAAUGAACAUGUGCUGGACAAGCACUGUACCACUGAGCCACAACCCCAGCCCUCUAACAUUGUACUUUACAGCCACCAUACAACUAAAAUCCCAACCCUGGAGAUUAGACCAGUUUCUUCCAGUUGGCUCAUUCUUUAGGGAAACCCAGUUCAGUCAAACAGCUCUUUGUCCAAUCCUUACUUGGUUAUUUCCUUCCACCUUCUCUUUAACCAUGAGUCCUUUAUUCCUGGAUGUGCCCUAUUUGGGAACUUCAAGAACUAAGUUCUACAAAUUCUGAUUAUUUGUAGAGUCAGAAAUGUUGGAUAACAUGUUAAAGUAUAUUUAAACUCCAAGAACUUUUGCCAUUUGAGUUGUAUGCCUUUCAAACUUCAAAUGUCCGCAUUUGCUUAUAACAGAAAUCAUUCAUUUUAUGAAUAGAUGAUAGGGGUUCCCACAUUAUUUUUUUCACAAAUAAUUCAUUACCUAAAUAAGUAUGUUAAAUAAUGAAACUGAAUAAUGUCUUUUUUUCCAAAAUGUCA
rnacentral:lncRNA from 1 species